AAUCUUGCGCAAUGGGCGAAAGCCCGACCCCGCCAGGCCGCGUGAAUGAUGACGGUACUAGGAUUGGAAAAUUCUUUCACCGGGGACGAUAAUGACGGUACCCGGAGAAGAAGCCCCGGCGCACUUCGUGCCAGCAGCCGCGGUAAUACGAAGGGGGCUAGCGUUGCUCGGAAUUACUGGGCGUAAAGGGCGCGUAGGCGGAUCGUUAAGUCAGGGGUGAAAUCCCGGGGCUCAACCUCGGAAUUGCCCUUGAUACUGGCGAUCUUGAGUAUGAGAGAGGUAUGUGGAACUCCGAGUGUAGAGGUGAAAUUCGUAGAUAUUCGGAAGAACACCAGUGGCGAAGGCGACAUACUGGCUCAUUACUGACGCUGAGGCGCGAAAGCGUGGGGAGCAAAC
rnacentral:rRNA from 1 species